AGGUUUCCUCCUGAGUCAGGCAGAGGAGAGAAAGCAGGGAAAGGGUCAUUUUUCAGAAAUGGACCUGGAUUCCUGUGAGGCAGAGAGGCCUCCGUUGGACACCAGAGAGAGGCCACUGGGUGACAGAAUGAUGCUGGCAAGACCUCCUGAUCAGGCUUUCCAUGGGGGCAGAAGGGAAGCAGCGGCUGUGGAACCAGAUCAGGUCAGGGGAAGCUGCCUUGUGGGGACAGAGGCUGAGGGAUGGAGCAAGGUCAUGGACGGGUUGGGCACAGAGGAAUGGUGGGAGGAAGCAGCUGUGGAACC